AAAGAGGUACGUGAGCUGGGUUUAGAACGUCGUGAGACAGUUCGGUCCCUAUCCGCUGCGCGCGGAGGAAACUUGAGAAGGGCUGUCCCUAGUACGAGAGGACCGGGAUGGACGAACCUCUGGUGUGUCAGUUGUUCCGCCAGGAGCACCGCUGAUUAGCUACGUUCGGGAUGGAUAACCGCUGAAAGCAUCUAAGUGGGAAGCCCACCUCAAGAUGAGUAUUCCCAUGGGGUAACCCAGUA
rnacentral:rRNA from 15 species